rnacentral:rRNA from 1 species
AUGGAGCAAUCAAAAAUUAUAGAUACGUUGGAGACGUAUCACAUAUCACAUCACAACAUGCCCUGCAAAAACAAGUUAGACGUCAUCUAUUUUGCUGUUGCAAGUUUUACAUGGCUGCAACGGGCUUCUAGCAAGAACCGUUCUUACCUACGCAUCAAAACCACAAUAGUGAUUUAUCAAGUUUGUUGUUUUAUCCUUCAACAAGGACUGGCGGCAGUCAAAUUCGAUUCAACUAAAGUAGGAGAAAUAGACACCCGCCAGCCACCUUUAUGCAAAACUAGUUGCAUGUCUGUCGGUGGAACCGGUCUCAUGAACGUGGUCAUGUAA